ACAAAUCCAAUGCUUGUGGGGUGACUUGUUAGUCAUCUUGCAAAUAUUAAUCCGCUGGCCUCGCAAGGGGCUAGUCGAUAACAUAAAUGUGUGUAGUGUUGACAGUGUGUGAUAUUUCAUUAAUUAUUGA
rnacentral:misc_RNA from 1 species